AGUGAGGCAAAAGACCAGAAGGCAUUCCCAAGAUGAUCUGCUAGAGACUCUGUCAGAGAGGCGCCAGAGAAGGUCUACAGCAUUGAGAAUCAAUCAAUCAAUCAAUCAAUCAAUCAACGAGACAUUUGACCAGAGAUCUUCCAAGAGCCAGAGAAGAAGCUCUUACCUGCAGAUCAAGACUUGCUGAUCCAGAGAUCUACGUCGAGAGCCACGAGCCAUCAUCAGUUCACAGAUCUGUCUUACACAUUGAUGUCAUUUGAUAUGACUUACGGAGAAUCUCCCUGCACCAAACUGCUUCCCUAACAGAGUCAGUGCACCAACACUCGUGGAAACUAACUGGAUCUCAGAAAUUACUCCCCUCGUGUGACUUCACUUAAAUAAGCCUUCUUCAUGCAAAGCUGAGCUCUAUGGAACUGAGUGCUAGAGGAUAGCAAGGCUAUGAAAUCGACGGCAAUAUUGAAUCCCAGGAUCAAAAUUACAGCUGUGUGGAAGAGAAAUGAGUAAAGAACACAGUGAGAGAGGAAGAGACUCCAGUAGAGAAAUACAGAGGCAGAGGUAUCCCAGAGGCUAACCUCAAGCUUAUUGUUGCAGCCCAUGAGAAGCAGAUGGUAAUUAGUGUUCAGCUAUCAACCCGCCAGAGGCAUGGAUAUCUGAUGGAGGAUUAAUCCUGUCCAGACAAGGUCUGUAAGACCAUUGACUCUGAAAGCUGUUGCUUACCUUUGCUGAAGCAGCUUGGUAUCUUCCCAAUACCUGCAUUGUAGUGUGUAAUCUCACAUGAUGUGUACAUGUAACCUCAUGAUUGCAGCCCAGUCUUAUGGGCACAUAUAUCUGUGGGUGAUUGGGUAUAUGACUUUUCAUUUAACAAUAUACUUCUGAUAUAUAGAAUAUAUACUGGGACUUGCUUCAUAAUUGGAACUAUUUGUCCCACAAGGACUGUGGACAUUGAAAAGUCUGCUUUCUUCUUUUGCUUACUAGAAUGGCUUCCUCCAUCCAAUGAAACCUCCAAUGAGAGAAUGUGAUCAUAUAGCCAGAAGCCUUGGUUCCCACAGCCAUAUCUCUGUUCUGUUCCCUGAGAUACAUUAGAAGUCACCUCUCUCAAAGUAUCUUUCAUUUGCCAGAACAUUCAGUCAGGGAAUUAGUCUUUCAUAUGAAUCACAUUUGGGACCUUCAAGGAUAAAGGAACAUCCGAGCUUAGAGAAUUGCCUUUGUUUUGCAUGUGUAUAUAAAUUGGAAUCUUGGAAGAAAAAAAAAGAAGAGUAAAGAAACUGAUGCAGAAAAGUACAUGGUGGAGAGUUCAUUUUGUCCUUAGAACUAAGUCCUGUGCUUGCUGUGACUCUUCUGCUGAACCCUGAAGGGGACACAGAUGUUGGCACUUAGAGGUCCCUGAUAGCUUAUAAUGUAAUAGAAUGCUGGGAUUACAGGCCUCUGUCACCAAACUCGACUUGUGCAGUACAGACAAUGGAACCCCAGACUAUGUGCAUGAGAGGCAAGCACUCUACAAAUUGAUCUAUAGUCCGAGUGAACAAGCAUAAGUAUAUCAUCUCUAAUUCAAGAUUUAUUAUGAGAUUUCUUAGUCCACAAUGCUGCCAUGCUAACAAGAUAGAAACUACAAAGAAGUUCAGCUUCUCUAGCUAUCCAGCAGGCAAACUUCCUGCAGGUAAGCACCCCCACCCCAGCCAAUGGAUCCUGCAGGCUACAAGUCCCACUCUUUCACCAAUAUGCUCCUAUCCCUCGCAACCUCAGAGGAACUCUGAAACACAGGCUGCAGUUUCACAGAGAGGAUGAAGAGGUGAGUGAAAUCCACUUGGUGGGACACCCCACUCUCUAGAUCCUCCAUAUCAAGGCAAAACCAUGGACCCCUCCCCCACCUGCCUUUGCUUCUCUAGCCAUUCAACAGGCAAGCUUCCUACAAGUAGGCUGCUCCAAAACCCCCACCCCAUUUAUCAGACCUUGCAAACUAUAAGUUCCACUCUACCUUCAAACCCUCCUAUUCCCCGUAACUUUAGAGGAACUUUGAAACACAAGCUGCAACUACACAGAAAGAACUAAGAGAGAGCACAAGAGAGGAACCCUGAAGUACAGGCUGUGACUACACAGAGAGUACCAAGAAAGGAACUCUGAAGCAUAGUCAGUGACUGUGCAGAGUGGACCAAGAGAGAAAACCAAGAGGGCAGACCAAGAGAGCAGGCCAAGAGAGCGGACGAUGAGAAAUCUCAGUGGCUUCCUAAGACACAGACAGCAACAGUACAGAGUAGAACAAGAGCAGUUCCCAAAGACACAGACAGUCACUGCAAGGAUUGGAUCAAGAGGCAAAGACACUGCCAGCACCAAUUGGAGGAAGAGAUGCUUUGGUGACGAUGCAAGCAUUUAUUCAUCAAUCUAAAAGGCAACAUGGUAACACCAGAACCCAGAGGGCAUACAACAGGAAGACUUGAUCAUCCUAGCCCAGGAG